rnacentral:rRNA from 1 species
AGAGUUUGAUCCUGGCUCAGAACGAACGCUGGCGGCGUGCUUAACACAUGCAAGUCGAACGCGAAAGGGACUUCGGUCCUGAGUAAAGUGGCGCACGGGUGAGUAACGCGUAGAUAACCUGUCUUCGUGUCUGGAAUAAUACACCGAAAGGGGUACUAAUACCGGAUAAUCUUGCUUUUCACAAGUUUUGCAAGCAAAGGUGGCCUCUGACAUAAGCUACUGCAUGAAGAGGGGUCUGCGUACCAUUAGCUAGUAGGUGGGGUAAAGGCCUACCUAGGCAACGAUGGUUAGCGGGUCUGAGAGGAUGAUCCGCCACACUGGCACUGGAACACGGGCCAGACUCCUACGGGAGGCAGCAGUGAGGAAUAUUGCGCAAUGGGGGCAACCCUGACGCAGCGACGCCGCGUGAGUGAGGAAGGCCUUCGGGUCGUAAAGCUCUGUCAAAGGGAAAGAAGUGUGCAAUGGCUAAUACCUGUUGCAUUUGACGGUACCCUUAAAGGAAGCACCGGCUAACUCCGUGCCAGCAGCCGCGGUAAUACGGAGGGUGCAAGCGUUGUUCGGAAUUACUGGGCGUAAAGGGCGCGUAGGCGGUUUGAUAAGUCAGAUGUGAAAGCCCACGGCUUAACUGUGGAAGUGCAUUUGAAACUGUCAGACUUGAGUACCAGAGGGGAAAGUGGAAUUCCCGGUGUAGAGGUGAAAUUCGUAGAUAUCGGGAGGAAUACCGGUGGCGAAGGCGACUUUCUGGCUGGAUACUGACGCUGAGGCGCGAAAGCGUGGGGAGCAAACAGGAUUAGAUACCC